rnacentral:rRNA from 1 species
CCUACGGGAGGCAGCAGUGAGGAAUAUUGGUCAAUGGGCGGGAGCCUGAACCAGCCAAGCCGCGUGAGGGAAGAAGGUACAGCGUAUCGUACACCUCUUUUGUCGGGGAGCAAAAGACGCCACGCGUGGCGUUCCGAGAGUACCCGAAGAAAAAGCAUCGGCUAACUCCGUGCCAGCAGCCGCGGUAAUACGGAGGAUGCGAGCGUUAUCCGGAUUUAUUGGGGUUAAAGGGUGCGCAGGCGGAAGAUCAAGUCAGCGGUAAAAUUGAGAGGCUCAACCUCUUCGAGCCGUUGAAACUGGUUUUCUUGAGGGAGCGAGAAGUAUGCGGAAUGCGGGGUGUAGCGGGGAAAGGCAUAGAUAUCACGCAGAACUCCGAUUGCGAAGGCAGCAUACCGGCGCUCAACUGACGCUCAUGCACGAAAGUGUGGGUAUCGAACAGGAUUAGAUACCCGGGUAGUC